UGCCCCAUGGCUGAGUUGGUUACAGCGUCCGACUGUUAAUAUUGGUAGAUGUCAUAUUCACACUGCAUAUGACAUUUAGCAAUGUCAAUCAUCGGAAGGUCGAGAGUUCGAGCCUCUCUGGGGCAG